CAUAUGUUAUAAUUAUUUUGUUUAAUUGUAAUAUUUCUUAUAUUUUAAUUGUUAUAUGUUUAAUAUUUCAGAAGUGCAUGGUGAAACAAAAGAAAAAUGUUUUCUGAUAGGACUGAAGAAUGGACACAUUCAAUCAGACUUGGAGCAUCAUACGAAAGAAAUGGAAAGUUGUCCACCAGGUCAUCAACCAUCUGCCGAAGCCAAGUUUAAGGAACACAAGACAAGAUAGACCACAGAUAGCAAUAAUGAACUUUGAACAUUUCCAAAAUCUUUAACUUUACAUUAAAACAUAGUCUAAUUUUAAUAGUA